rnacentral:rRNA from 1 species
UACGUAGGGAGCAAGCGUUGUUCGGAUUUACUGGGCGUAAAGGGCGCGUAGGCGGCAAAUUAAGUCAGCUGUGAAAUCUCCGAGCUUAACUCGGAACGGUCAGCUGAUACUGAUCUGCUAGAGUGCGGAAGGGGCAAUCGGAAUUCUUGGUGUAGCGGUGAAAUGCGUAGAUAUCAAGAGGAACACCUGAGGUGAAGACGGGUUGCUGGGCCAACACUGACGCUGAUGCGCGAAAGCCAGGGGAGCAAACGGG